rnacentral:tRNA from 26 species
GCGCCAAUAGCUCAGUUGGUUAGAGCUACCGGCUCAUAACCGGUCGGUCCGGGGUUCGAGUCCCUGUUGGCGCACCA